AGUUUCGCCACUGUCGUCCU
rnacentral:miRNA from 2 species